rnacentral:lncRNA from 1 species
AUCUAUCAAAGCCUGACAUCACCAUGAACCAUGCCAGAGAGUGUCGCAAAAGUAUCAUAAGUCUUUUGUAAUUCAACCCCUGAGUUAGCAAGUCUAUCAGCUUGCUUGUUUGCCUCUCCAUAGCAAUGCGAUAUAGCUUGAAAUAAUGCUUGUACCUCAACAACUCCUCCAACUCCCCUUGCAACUCCCACGGACAUGCAGAAGUUCCCUGAAUCAUGUUAGCUAAAACAAGUGAGUUAGUUUCAACAUGCAAGGCAUCAUAACCACGCGAUAAACAUUGCCAGACUCCAAAGAGCAUCGCCUUAAGCUCCGCAUGCAAGCUUGUCAAAUUGCCAAAGAAGCAUGAGUACUUGAAGAUGAAUGGACCAUGUCCAUCCCGUACCAAGCCGCCUCCACCACUUAGCCCUGGAUUACUUCUAGAAUACCCAUCAGUAUUUAAUUUAUAACCCACCACAGGAGCCAACCAUUUAACUGGAAAUACCUAAAUUCUCCGUGACCGACCAAUCAAGAAAGAAUGAAACUCAGUCCAAGAAAAGAAAGAAUAUUUCAUUUCUGGGUAUUGCGCAUGAAAGAGCUCACACAGCUGCUGGAAAACCUGACUCAUAAUCUCCCCAUGAACCACUUUCUUUCC